rnacentral:rRNA from 1 species
GACGAACGCUGGCGGCGCGCUUAACACAUGCAAGUCGAGCGAUGAAAUUUUGACAGAUCCCUUCGGGGUGAAGACAAAAUGGAUAGCGGCGGACGGGUGAGUAACGCGUGAGCAACCUGCCUAUGACAGUGGGAUAGCCUCGGGAAACCGGGAUUAAUACCGCAUAAAAUCGUAGAAACACAUGUUUUAACGGUCAAAGAUUUAUCGGUCAUAGAUGGGCUCGCGUCUGAUUAGCUAGUUGGUGAGAUAACAGCCCACCAAGGCGACGAUCAGUAGCCGGUCUGAGAGGAUGAACGGCCACAUUGGAACUGAGACACGGUCCAAACUCCUACGGGAGGCAGCAGUGGGGAAUAUUGCACAAUGGGGGAAACCCUGAUGCAGCGACGCCGCGUGAACGAAGAAGGUAUUCGUAUCGUAAAGUUCUGUCCUAUGGGAAGAUAAUGACAGUACCAUAGAAGAAAGCUCCGGCUAAAUACGUGCCAGCAGCCGCGGUAAUACGUAUGGAGCGAGCGUUGUCCGGAAUUAUUGGGCGUAAAGGGUACGCAGGCGGUUUAAUAAGUCGAAUGUUAAAGAUCGGGGCUCAACCCCGUAAAGCAUUGGAAACUGAUAAACUUGAGUAGUGGAGAGGAAAGUGGAAUUCCUAGUGUAGUGGUGAAAUACGUAGAUAUUAGGAGGAAUACCAGUAGCGAAGGCGACUUUCUGGACUUUUACUGACGCUCAGGUACGAAAGCGUGGGGAGCAAACAGG